UGAAAUCUGCUGAAAUUCACCAGCUGCUUCUCCAGCUUCUUUCGAUUUCUGGAAUCUUAGAAUUUGAGACUCGCCAAAGAAUGGUCCUCAAGAUAAAGCAGGCUAAAGUGUUCAAAAGUUACUGAGAUGCCUCAGAAGCCAGCAGCUGGGUUGCAUCCCAAGCUGAAUACGCACAAGUGUCUGGAGACCUGGGGUGAUCAAGGCCAGGUGGAAGUUUUGGAGGCUGACACUGCUGCACAUGUCAUUUCCUCGUGGACCUAAUGCCCAGAGCCAGCUUGUCACAGAAUCAAACUUAGCUUGUCGGAACUCUGAGCUCUUCUUCAGCCUGCAGGCUGUAGACACGGAAAGAACUGACAAGGAAUUAUUCUAAACAAGAGCAAGAAAGGUUGGAAGGAACUGCCAUAUAGAGAAGAAAACAGAGACUACCAGAUGGGGGUGUCACUAUGUUGUCCAAACUGGACUUGAACUCCUAGCUCAGGGGAUCCGCCCUCCUGAGUACCUGAGACUACAGGGGACAACAUGGGCAUGCUGGCAUGAGGAGAAAUGCACAGAUCCCUUUCACAGCUGUCCGCUUCUCCCAACAAGGCCAACCAGGGAGCUUGAGAUUGUGCCAUCUCAAAAUCUCUCCCCUCCAACCAGCUGAA
rnacentral:lncRNA from 10 species